rnacentral:rRNA from 1 species
UACAGAGGUCUCAAGCGUUGUUCGGAUUCAUUGGGCGUAAAGGGUGCGUAGGUGGCGCUGUAAGUCGGGUGUGAAAUUUCGGAGCUUAACUCCGAAACUGCAUUCGAUACUGCGGUGCUUGAGGACUGGAGAGGAGACUGGAAUUCAUGGUGUAGCAGUGAAAUGCGCAGAGAUCAUGAGGAAGACCAGUGGCGAAGGCGGGUCUCUGGACAGUUCCUGACACUGAGGCACGAAGGCAAGGGGAGCAAACGGG